rnacentral:rRNA from 1 species
GAAAUGCGAUAAGUAAUGUGAAUUGCAGAAUUCAGUGAAUCAUCGAAUCUUUGAACGCACCUUGCGCUCCUUGGUAUUCCGAGGAGCAUGCCUGUUUGAGUGUCAUUAAUAUAUCAACCUUCUCUUUUUGAGUGGUUUGGAUGUGGGGGUUUGCUGGCCUCUUAAAAGGUCUUGGCUCUCCUGAAAUACAUUAGCAGAACAACCCUGUUCAUUGGUGUGAUAACUAUCUACGCUAUUGAAUGUGAAGGGCAGUUUCGCUUUCUAACAGUCCUUGGACAAGCUCAUCAUUAAUGUGACCUCAAAUCAGGUAGGACUACCCGCUGAACUUAAGCAUAUCAAUAAGCGGAGGAAAAGAAACU